rnacentral:rRNA from 1 species
GCCUCAGUAACGGCGAGUGAAGCGGCAACAGCUCAAAUUUUAAAGCUGGCGUCUUCGACGCCCGCGUUGUAAUUUGGAGAGGCAUCUUCGGUUUGGGCGCCAGCCUAUGUUCCUUGGAACAGGACGUCACAGAGGGUGAGAAUCCCGUGCUUGGCUGGCUGUCCCUUGCCAUGUGAAGUGCCUUCGACGAGUCGAGUUGUUUGGGAAUGCAGCUCAAAAUGGGUGGUAAAUUCCAUCUAAAGCUAAAUAUUGGCGGGAGACCGAUAGCGCACAAGUAGAGUGAUCGAAAGAUGAAAAGCACUUUGAAAAUAGAGUUAAAAAGUACGUGAAAUUGUUGAAAGGGAAGCGCUUGAGACCAGACUCGGCCGGAGAUGAUCAGCCGUCCUUCUGGGCGGUGCACUUGUCUCCGGUCGGGCCAGCAUCGGUUGAGACGGCGGGAUAAAGGCCCGGGGAAUGUGGCUCCUUUCGGGGAGUGUUAUAGCCCCGGACGCAAUGCCGCCAGCCUCGACCGAGGACCGCGCUUUUUGCUAGGAUGCUGGCGUAAUGGUCUUCAGCGACCCGUCUUGAAACACGGACCAAGGAGUCUAACAUCUAUGCGAGUGUUUGGGUGUCAAACCCUUGCGCGUAAUGAAAGUGAACGGAGGUGGGAACCCCCUCGCGGGGCGCACCAUCGACCGGUCCUGAUGUCUUCGGAUGGAUCUGAGUAGGAGCAUAGCUGUUGGGACCCGAAAGAUGGUGAACUAUGCCUGAAUAGGGUGAAGCCAGAGGAAACUCUGGUGGAGGCUCGCAGCGGUUCUGACGUGCAAAUCGAUCGUCAAAUUUGGGUAUAGGGGCGAAAGACUAAUCGAACCAUCUAGUAGCUGGUUCCUGCCGAAGUUYCCCUCAGGA